rnacentral:rRNA from 1 species
AUGGAAGACGGCAGGGCUUUGAGGAGGAUGUCUAUCCCUACCCGCAGAAGCAGAUCUGCCGAUUUCCACAAUUUUUCAGAAAGGAGGAGACGGGAUAAGAUCAACGAGAAGCUCAAGGCACUGCAAGAGCUACUUCCAAACUGCACCAAGACGGACAAGGUGUCGAUGCUAGACGAAGUGAUCGACUACCUGAAAUCGCUCCAGCUGCAACUCCAGAUGCUAGUGAUGGGGAAAGGGAUGGCGCAUGUGGUGCCUCCGGAGCUGCAGCAGUACAUGCACUACAUCACCACGGAUCCCGCUGCCCAGUUGAUGCAGAUGCCUCCCUCGGAGCCGCCGCAGCCGUUCCAGAUCACGCACGCCAACCCACCGCAGCGGGAGUCUGAUUUCCUCAGCCAGAUGCAGAACCACCUGCACCCCUCCGACCAGCCUCAGAUCAACUUCCUCAGGCCGCAUGUUCAUCCAUGUAUGUGGUGA